rnacentral:lncRNA from 1 species
GUCAAGCAGGCUGUCCUCAGGGCGAUGGGUGCCAUGAUGGGUGUCUUCCUGCAUGUGGAGGAGCACCGCGAGCACACCUGGGAGCAGCUCCUUUGGCUAUCAAGUUGGGAGAGGACUGUGGAGGGGCUGAUGCCUUUGGGUGUACAAUGUCCUUAGGCAAGCAGUGCCUUAGAGGGAGAAAGCCAAGGCUCCAGUGGGCUGCAAGGCGUCCAAGAAGUCCAGGACGCCUUCAGGGUGACUAUGUCUCAGCUCUUUUCUGGAGGUCUUGGUGGGCAUUCAGACCCUUAUGCCCCAGGCCAAACUUCUGGCCAUCGGCACUGUUGUGCACUGGCAGGUAAGGCCUUACGCCAUGUUGCUGGCCUGGGGCUGGCAGAGUGGGUCCCCACAGAGGGGACAGAGCUGCCGGUUGGCAGGGCUGGGCAUCCCUCCGUUGAGAGCCACCUGAAGGCCAGGGCUGUGCAGGGGCUGUGAGCCAUGGCCCAUGUUGGCACCUUGAGGCUACUGGGGACCUGGAUGGGCUGUUUUGCACCAGCCCAGGGGACAGUCUGGUUCACAGAGCAAUUCCCCUCUGGGCUGAGUUGCAGGAGGGCUCCAGAGGGCAGGACCCACCAGGAGCCUUCGAACGCUGCUCAGCCUUGGCUCCUGGGCAGCCGUAGCUGCUGCAAAGCUCUGCAUGUGCCCGGCUCUGGGUUUUGGCCUUGGGUCCAUGCCCAGAGCUGCCCAUGAGAUGAGAGCUGACAGUGCAGUUUCUUUUCCGUCCCUCUCCACACUGAUCUGGCUUUCUCCAAAAUGCACCUUGUUGCCAACGCCCUGUGAUGAGAUCAAGCAGCCCAGUCCAGAACACAGAGCAGAACUGUGCUGCUGCAUCAUGCUGCAGGCCCGAAUUUGCCCAGAAGAGACAGUUGUGUUCCUCCAGCCUGAGCUGAGCAGUGGGUGUGAGGCCAGUUGCGUGGCAGCUGUGGAUCUGCUGCAAGCUCUGGUCCGCUCUGAAGCCUCUGAGAUGAGGGAGAAGCUGUCCCUGAUAGUGACAGCCGUGUGCAGUCUGUGUGCUGUGACCCUGCGGCCCGGGGAGCUGCUGUGCUCCAGUGCCCCAAGCUGCUUGGCAUGGGAUGUGAUGGGGCAUGUCUUCAGUGAGUUCAGCCAGGCCUCAGGCAGACUGGUGACAGGAAACCUUUGUGCUGGGGAAGCCCAGGAAGAAAAGGCUGUUCAGCGCCUGUGUGCCCACAUCCUGAGCACGCUGGACGUCUCUGCCAGAGGGGUGGCCAAAGGAAUGACUUCUGUUUUGUUCCGCUGUGCCAAAAGCCAUUUCCAGCUGGCCUUGUCCUUGGUCGAGGAGUUCACAGAGACUUUUCAACAGCAGGAGGAGGCGAUUCAGGAGGAGCCCCAGGAGUCCCUGUUGUGCCCCCAGGCCAUCAUGGUCAUGGAGCAGUUGAGGUAGGGUCUGUCCCCGGGCUGUGGGAGUCGCUGCGUGUCCCAGCCCAGCUGGCUGGUGUGGCUGGGGCUGCGGGUGUUGGAUUUGGGGCUGUCGAUUGGGACAAAGCCAGUCGUCCUUUGACUCGCUCUGGAGAGUGCUAGUAAGCCCCCUUUCUGUUUUCUCUCCUUUUUUUCUCCUGGCAGCAAGCUGCAGCCCCAUCUGAGCAGGGAGGAAAACUGCAGCCUCCUGGCUCAGUGCUGCCAGGGCAUCGUGUGCCUUCGUCACCUGGAGCAGAUGGAAGAGGAAGGGGAGGUGGCGGCAGCUCCUGCAUGCGCAUGAGUACCCGCUGACCCUUCUCAGCUGCCCCUCGGUGGGGGCCCAGCCAUGGGCGCCCCAUGCUCUGGCAGCCACUGGCCACGCUGGUGUCUCCGUGGGGUGCCCAGCCUCAGUCCCCCUUUCUGGUGUCAGGAUGUGCAUGCGCUGUCCCUGCAAGUGCUGGGCCAGCUCAUGGCAGCCCUUCUCCAGACAGAGCUGGCCCCUGCCUGCUUUGAGGAUGUGGUGCAGGUGAGUGUCCCUGGGGUGGCAGGGAAAGCAUUGCCGCUGCCAGAGUGGGGCAGAGCUGUGGGGGAUCCCGCCUGCAGGGCUGGUCCGAGGAGGGGAGCUUGCCUGUAACUAGGUGCAACACCCCAAAUUGGCAGAGAGUGAAAUGGUCCUGGUUUCAGGCCCCCUUGCCCAAAUUUUGCAUCCAAGCUUUUCCCAUCGGCAGCAGCUUCCUUGCAGGCAGCUUGCAGUGUCCUGCAGAGUCCCCUAGAUGAGCUAGAGCUUCUCCCCAG